rnacentral:rRNA from 1 species
UGGGGAAUUUUGGACAAUGGGCGAAAGCCUGAUCCAGCAAUGCCGCGUGUGUGAAGAAGGCCUUCGGGUUGUAAAGCACUUUUGUCCGGAAAGAAAUCCUUGGCUCUAAUACAGUCGGGGGAUGACGGUACCGGAAGAAUAAGCACCGGCUAACUACGUGCCAGCAGCCGCGGUAAUACGUAGGGUGCAAGCGUUAAUCGGAAUUACUGGGCGUAAAGCGUGCGCAGGCGGUUUGCUAAGACCGAUGUGAAAUCCCCGGGCACAACCUGGGAACUGCAUUGGUGACUGGCAGGCUAGAGUAUGGCAGAGGGGGGUAGAAUUCCACGUGUAGCAGUGAAAUGCGUAGAGAUGUGGAGGAAUACCGAUGGCGAAGGCAGCCCCCUGGGCCAAUACUGACGCUCAUGCACGAAAGCGUGGGGAGCAAACAGGAUUAGAUACCCUGGUAGUCCACGCCCUAAACGAUGUCAACUAGUUGUUGGGGAUUCAUUUCCUUAGUAACGUAGCUAACGCGUGAAGUUGACCGCCUGGGGAGUACGGUCGCAAGAUUAAAACUCAAAUGAAUUGACGGGGUCAUAGCUGUUUCCU